GGGUUUGUAGCUCAGCAGUAGAGCAUCAUCUUUGCACGUGAAAUGUCCCAGGUUCAAUCCCUGGCAUGUCCA